CUGGUUACGUUUCAACUGCUGAUGAAACCGCAGCCGGGAGCGGAGGAGUCUUUGGACCUUCCCAUGAGCUCGUAAAAGGCGCCUUCAAGAAGCUUUAGGGAGGAGGAGAAGAAGAAGGAGAAGGGACAAAGGAGCGGCCGGAGGAGGGAGCAGCCCCCGUCCUGGAGCAGGGGGACUUGGGGGGCUGCAGGAAGCCGCUGAAUGUGGAGGGUUUGGGCAAAAUGCUUUCUCUGAAGAAAUACUUCACCGAAGGCCUCAUCCAGUUCACCAUCCUGCUCAGCUUGAUCGGCGUGCACGUGGACGUGGACACCUACCUGAACUCACAGCUCCCCCUGCUCUGGGAGAUCAUCCUUGGCCAGAGCUCCGCUUACACCCAGACCCCGUUUCACAACCUGAGGAACACCUUGGAUGGUUAUGGCAUCCACCCAAAGAGCAUAGACUUGGACUAUUACUUCACUGCUCGCAGGCUGCUCAACGAGGUGAGGGCCCUGGACAGGUUUCAGGUGCCCACCACCGAAGUCAGUGCCUGGUUGGUGCACAGAGACCCCAAAAGCUCCGUGUCUGGUGCUCAGCCCAGUGCUGGCAUCGCCCUCGAGAAUGGCAGCAGCCUCCAGGAUGGGAGCAGCCCCGACAGGGAGCGGAGCUGAGCAAGGCUUUGGGGAAGAACUGGAAGAUCUGGGAGCGGUGGCUGCCCCUGCGGAUGGAGACCUGACCAAAGAGAUGGGCUUCUCAGAAAAUUACUACUUCCACAGCGGAUUCCUCUAGACCCGAGGCAGUGCAGGACCAGUAUAAAAGCCGUCCCAGCCCUUGACUCUCUCAUCCACUCCGCUCACCUUCUUUUCCUUCAGCAGUAAGUGAAGCUCUACCAUCGAGCCAUGUCCUGCUGCAACCCGUGCGUGCCCUGCCAGCCCUGCGGCCCGACCCCACUGGCCAACAGCUGCAAUGAGCCCUGUGUCAGGCAGUGCCAGAGCUCCACCGUCGUCAUUGAGCCUUCCCCCGUGGUGGUGACCCUGCCCGGCCCCAUCCUCAGCUCCUUCCCACAGAACACCGUUGUGGGCUCCUCCACCUCCGCUGCUGUUGGCAGCAUCCUCAGCUGUGAGGGAGUGCCCAUCAACUCCGGGGGCUUUGACCUCUCCUGCAUCACCAACCGCUACUGCUGCAGACCCUGCUAAAGCUGCUGCAGAUGCCCUGUAGAAGGAGACCCAGGAACCCAGGAGAUGGUACCGGACUGAGCAUGAACAUCCUGGCCACUGCUCUCAGAGGCACUGGGCAUCCGUGGCUCCAUCUGCAGAGGAAGGCAGGAGGAGCCAUGCCUGGGCAGUCUGAAAAUGUGGCCCUUGUCUAACUUGCCUGUUCUCUCCCUCUCUUUUUCCUCUCUCUUUUUUCUCUGUUGUCUUCUGCUGCCUGGGCUGUAAUGACCUGCUAAGCCCCAUCUGAGGAGAGACCUGCUGCCUCUCUUCCUCUCAGGGGCAGGCAGACUCCCGGUGCAAACUCCAGCCUGGCCAAGUGCCAUAGAUCUCCCUGCACCAUAGCCCCAGUCAGAGGAACUCCUUUCCCUCUUUCAACUCAUUAAAGUUCUGCUGCAUCCCA